rnacentral:rRNA from 1 species
AUGCUUAACACAUGCAAGUCGAACGGUAACAGAGAGUAGCUUGCUACUUUGCUGACGAGCGGCGGACGGGUGAGUAACGCGUGGGUAAUCUGCCCUUGGGUCUGGAACAACGCUGGGAAACUAGUGCUAAUUCCGGAUAAGACUACGACGACCUAGGUCGAUGUAGAAAAAGGUGGCCUCUCCUUGGAAGCUAUCGCCCGGGGAUGAGCCCGCGUUCCAUUAGCUUGUUGGUGGGGUAAAAGCCUACCAAGGCACCGAUGGAUGGCUGGUCUGAGAGGAUGAUCAGCCACACUGGGACUGAGACACGGCCCAGACUCCUACGGGAGGCAGCAGUCGGGAAUUUUGUCCAAUGGGGGAAACCCUGAGACAGCAACGCCGCGUGAGGGAUGAAGGCCUUCGGGUCGUAAACCUCUGUCGGGAGGGAAGAAUACUUCAUUGCGAAUAGUUUUGAAGUUUGACGGUACCUCCAAAGGAAGCUCCGGCUAACUCCGUGCCAGCAGCCGCGGUAAUACGGAGGGGGCAAGCGUUGUUCGGAAUCAUUGGGCGUAAAGCGGAUGCAGGCGGUGAAGUAAGUCGGAUGUGAAAUCCCAGGGCCCAACCCUGGAACUGCAUUCGAAACUGCUCCACUAGAGUCCCGGAGAGGAAGGCGGAAUUCCCGGUGUAGAGGUGAUAUUCGUAGAUAUCGGA